AUGCCACCAUGGGAGCGCUUCCGGGAGCUCUGUCUCCUCCGGUUCGGGCCUCCUAUCCGCGGGAGCCGACUGGCGGCCCUCGGCCGCUUACCUUUCACAUCCACGGUGCAGGACUACGCCGACCGCUUCCAGGCCCUGGCGUGCCACGCGCCGGGCGUCUCCGCCACUCAGCGCGCCGAGUUAUUUGUGGGCGGUCUACCGGACCAUAUCCGCAUGGACGUGGAGCUUCGGGGACCCCAGGAUCUCCAGUCGGCCAUGUAUUACGCCCGCGCGUUCGAGUGCCGCGCGGUGGCCAUCCAGCAGGAAUCACCGUCCCAGACUACUGGGUCGCUACCCGGACCGGAUUCCGCGCAGGGUCGGCCUGUGCAGGCUUCUGCGGCACCCCUCGCCGCGACCGCGGGGCGCCCGUUCCGCCGGCUCACCCCAGCUGAGAUACUCGAGGGUCGCCGCCAAGGGUUGUGCUUCAACUGCGACGAACCCUACAAGCCCGGCCACGCCUGCCCGCGACUCUUCUACCUGGAGGUGGCAGACUACAUUCCGGAGGACAUCGUCGCCGCUGACCUGGCCGCCCCAGAUGUCGAGAAGGUGUUUGACGCUGGUUGA
rnacentral:rRNA from 1 species